rnacentral:rRNA from 1 species
GCCUACGGCCAUGCCACCCUGAACAAGUCCGAUCCUGUCCGAUCUCAGAAGCUAAGCAGGGUUGGGCCUGGUUAGAACUUGGAUGGGAGACCACCUGGGAAGACCAGGUGCUGUAGGCA